GCAACAUCAGGUAAAAGAAAAGGAUAAAGAAAAUCUGGGGCGCGAGCAUGCCAUACCAUUGCUUCAUUCAUGAAAACCGCCUCUUAGCCAGGUGAUUGGCUGCCAUGUUAGAUUCCCUAAAAACAUGAAGGAUUUUCCUCUAAUGACCUGCGUAGGCUUACAGAGCUGACUCAAGGGUUUAACAAAAAGUUUGAGUCACUCUUAAUGAUUAGGGGUAUGCAAUGAAUAUGCCCAAAUCCUAUGCCUGGAUUUUAGCAGCAUUAUUGGAGUUGUUACCUAGGGGGCUGCAAAGGCUUAUUAUAAAACCACUUUGUCUCAUUUCUGAAAUUCCUCCACCACUAGCCGCACCAGGAUUUCACAAGGAUGAACCAUAUAUGUUGAGCUUGAAAUGACUGGAGGAGGGAAUGGCAAUGCCAGCUGAAUAAAGCAAAGGGA
rnacentral:lncRNA from 1 species